UACGUAGGGGGCAAGCGUUGUCCGGAUUCAUUGGGCGUAAAGAGCGUGUAGGCGGCCAGGUAGGUCGGUUGUGAAAACUGGAGGCUCAACCUUCAGAGGUCGACCGAAACCAUCUGGCUAGAGUCCGGGAGAGGAGAGUGGAAUUCCUGGUGUAGCGGUGAAAUGCGCAGAUAUCAGGAAGAACACCCGUGGCGAAAGCGGCUCUCUGGACAAAUACCGACGCUGAGGCACGAAAGCUAGGGGAGCAAACAGG
rnacentral:rRNA from 1 species